rnacentral:rRNA from 4 species
GGGUUGUGAGGUUAAGCGACUAAGCGUACACGGUGGAUGCCCUGGCAGUCAGAGGCGAUGAAGGGCGUGCUAAUCUGCGAUAAGCGCCGGUAAGGUGAUAUGAACCGUUAUAACCGGCGAUACCCGAAUGGGGAAACCCAGUGUGACUCGUCACACUAUCAUUAACUGAAUCCAUAGGUUAAUGAGGCGAACCGGGGGAACUGAAACAUCUAAGUACCCCGAGGAAAAGAAAUCAACCGAGAUUCCCCCAGUAGCGGCGAGCGAACGGGGAGGAGCCCAGAGCCUGAAUCAGCAUGUGUGUUAGUGGAAGCGUCUGGAAAGGCGCGCGAUACAGGGUGACAGCCCCGUACACAAAAGCGCAUGUGCUGUGAGCUCGAUGAGUAGGGCGGGACACGUGGUAUCCUGUCUGAAUAUGGGGGGACCAUCCUCCAAGGCUAAAUACUCCUGACUGACCGAUAGUGAACCAGUACCGUGAGGGAAAGGCGAAAAGAACCCCGGCGAGGGGAGUGAAAAAGAACCUGAAACCGUGUACGUACAAGCAGUGGGAGCACCCUU